rnacentral:rRNA from 1 species
UACAGAGGUCUCAAGCGUUGUUCGGAUUCAUUGGGCGUAAAGGGCGCGUAGGCGGUCGUGACAAGUCACUUGUGAAAUCUCCGGGCUUAACUCGGAACGGUCAAGUGAUACUGUCGGACUAGAGUACAGAAGGGGGCAACUGGAAUUCUCGGUGUAGCGGUGAAAUGCGUAGAUAUCGCUUGGAACGCCAAAGGUGAAGACAGGUUGCUGGAGAUAUGCCGACACUGAGACGCGAAAGCCAGGGGAGCAAACGGG